rnacentral:sRNA from 1 species
UUUCAGCCCCGAUUGAAAUGAAAAUCCUUAUGGUCCGUCUCGUCCCAAAAGACGAGAGGGACAUAAGAUUGCAAUGGAAAGCGGGACGAUGA